UCUCCUGGAAAACGGGUGGUAAUGCCGGAUGCUCCAUCACACUGCAUGGUGUGUUGGGAAAGCCUUUGCGGCAUGGGAUGGGGUCGCGUCCUAUCAGCUUGAUGGCGGGGUAACGGCCCACCAUGGCUUCGACGGGUAGCCGGCCUGAGAGGGCGACCGGCCACAUUGGGACUGAGAUACGGCCCAGACUCCUACGGGAGGCAGCAGUGGGGAAUAUUGCACAAUGGGCGCAAGCCUGAUGCAGCGACGCCGCGUGAGGGAUGGAGGCCUUCGGGUUGUAAACCUCUUUUGUUAGGGAGCAAGGCAUUUUGUGUUGAGUGUACCUUUCGAAUAAGCACCGGCUAACUACGUGCCAGCAGCCGCGGUAAUACGUAGGGUGCAAGCGUUAUCCGGAAUUAUUGGGCGUAAAGGGCUCGUAGGCGGUUCGUCGCGUCCGGUGUGAAAGUCCAUCGCUUAACGGUGGAUCCGCGCCGGGUACGGGCGGGCUUGAGUGCGGUAGGGGAGACUGGAAUUCCCGGUGUAACGGUGGAAUGUGUAGAUAUC
rnacentral:rRNA from 1 species